UUACGCGCUGUUUUCCCAGGUAACACAUCCGUUUGCAUUGAAAUAAAUCCUUUGGAAGCGCUAAUAGCUGCUAACAGCGUUUAAACACAAUGUAUGUUUAACAGGACGAAACGCGGCCACCUUCAAACUAGCAGAGCAGAAGCCACCCUCCUCCUCCACCCAGCUCAGAACGGGACACGAGAUCCUGCUGACAGCGCUUGGGAUUAAAUACCCAACAAGGCAUUUAUUGUAACAGAGAAAGGACUGGAGCCAGGCGGGAACCAGUAACAGGAAGGGAAGGUGCUGAAGAAACCUGUCUCGCAGUGAAGAUUUCAGCUGCCAGCCAGAGAGAUGGGGUCUGGUGAAGAUGACUGCGCUACAUGGCGGUUAUUUGAAUCAAAUAAGGUUUUGGUUGGUGAUGGCUGCAGGAACUGUGAAUCACCAGCAGACAAAGAGUAAUGGAAAUGUUUCCUCUAGCAUGAAGAGAAGGGAGAGGAUGUAAAAGACCUCAGCAUUUAUGCUAAGCACCAAGUUCUUUUUUCUAUAAAAAACAAUAAGCUUUGAUACUAUAACAAAUAAUUAAAACCUAGUAUUUAAAGAGUUACGUUGGUCAAAUAAAGUAAAACCAAGCCUU